UCCGGCUUUUCGCCGACAGUCUCCGUAGAGUGCCCAGCUUGACCUGAUGGCAACUACAGACAAGGGUUGCGCUCGUUGCGGGACUUAACCCAACAUCUCACGACACGAGCUGACGACAGCCAUGCAGCACCUCUCUAUCCGUCCCGAAGGAACUCUACAUCUCUGCAGAUUGCGGAUACAGUUCAAACCCCGGUAAGGUUCUUCGCGUUGCGUCGAAUUAAACCACAUGCUCCACCGCUUGUGCGGGCCCCCGUCAAUUCCUUUGAGUUUCAGCCUUGCGGCCGUAUUCCCCAGGCGGAGCACUUAUCGAGUUUUCUUCGACACAGAGAACUAAUCCGUCCCCCACAUCAAGUGCUCAUCGUUUACAGCCAGGACUAC
rnacentral:misc_RNA from 1 species